UACAGAGGAUGCAAGCGUUAUCCGGAAUUAUUGGGCGUAAAGCGUCUGUAGGUGGCUUUUUAAGUCCGCCGUCAAAUCCCAGGGCUCAACUCUGGACAGGCGGUGGAAACUACCAAGCUGGAGUACGGUAGGGGCAGAGGGAAUUUCCGGUGGAGCGGUGAAAUGCGCAGAGAUCGGAAAGAACACUAACGGCGAAAGCACUCUGCUGGGCCGACACUGACACUGAGAGACGAAAGCUAGGGGAGCGAAUGGG
rnacentral:rRNA from 1 species